rnacentral:lncRNA from 1 species
GCAUAAACCAUGUGAAAUGUAGGAUGGUUGAGGAAGGAAGCUGGAGGGUAGUGUGGGUCAAGCCUUCUUUAGGCUGCAGCAGGAACCUGGAGCAGAGUGAACUGAGGACCACGGAAGGAUUAAACCAAAAGUGGAAAGAGCUCGUGCCUGGGGGCCCCACUCCCAGGGAGGAAGCGUUGAGCAGUGGCUGGAGGAAGCAGCAGACAGUUCUGGGGCACACGGAGUCCCCCCUCCUGCCCUUCUACUCCUCUUACACCAGAGAGAGCUAACAAGGUAGGGAAUAAGACAAUUACCCAAUUCAAUUCGGUUUUUAAGCUGCUUUUAUCUUUACAGUUCAGGGAUCACUGAAUCAUCUGGAAAAUAAUUUCAGCUCUCUGCUUAUUUUCACUAGAUUGCUUAGCCCUAGGAAUAUUGGAAAACCCUUCAUUCAAAGUCUGAGGUCCUUUCCUCUCUCCAAUCCCCACAACCCAAGCUGGGUUUCCCUGGCCCCUCUCAG